GAUGAACGCUGGCGGCGUGCCUAAUACAUGCAAGUCGAGCGAACGGACGAGAAGCUUGCUUCUCUGAUGUUAGCGGCGGACGGGUGAGUAACACGUGGAUAACCUACCUAUAAGACUGGGAUAACUUCGGGAAACCGGAGCUAAUACCGGAUAAUAUUUUGAACCGCAUGGUUCAAAAGUGAAAGACGGUCUUGCUGUCACUUAUAGAUGGAUCCGCGCUGCAUUAGCUAGUUGGUAAGGUAACGGCUUACCAAGGCAACGAUGCAUAGCCGACCUGAGAGGGUGAUCGGCCACACUGGAACUGAGACACGGUCCAGACUCCUACGGGAGGCAGCAGUAGGGAAUCUUCCGCAAUGGGCGAAAGCCUGACGGAGCAACGCCGCGUGAGUGAUGAAGGUCUUCGGAUCGUAAAACUCUGUCAUUAGGGAAGAACAUAUGUGUAAGUAACUGUGCACAUCUUGACGGUACCUAAUCAGAAAGCCACGGCUAACUACGUG
rnacentral:rRNA from 1 species